rnacentral:rRNA from 1 species
UACGUAGGACCCAAGCGUUAUCCGGAGUGACUGGGCGUAAAGAGUUGCGUAGGCGGCGCAUUAAGCGAGUAAUGAAAUCUGGUGGCUCAACCAUCAAAUUGUUAUUCGAACUGGUGUGCUCGAGAAUGGUAGAGGUAGCUGGAAUUUCUAGUGUAGGAGUGAAAUCCGUAGAUAUUAGAAGGAACACCGACGGCGUAGGCAGGCUACUGGGCCAUUUCUGACGCUAAGGCACGAAAGCGUGGGGAGCAAA